rnacentral:rRNA from 1 species
AUUGAACGCUGGCGGCAGGCCUAACACAUGCAAGUCGAACGAGUGGCGGACGGGUGAGUAAUGUCUGGGAAACUGCCCGAUGGAGGGGGAUAACUACUGGAAACGGUCGCUAAUACCGCAUACCAUCGGAUUUGCCCAGAUGUGAUUAGCUUGUAGGUGAUGUAACGGCUCACCUAGGCGACGAUCCCUAGCUGGUCUGAGAGGCUGCCCAGCCACACGGUAACUGAGACACGGGCCAGACUCCUACGGGGGGCAGCAGUGGGGAAUAUUGCACAAUGGGCGAAAGCCUGAUGUAGCCAUGCCGCGUGUAUGAAGAAGGCCUUCGGGUUGGAAAGUACUUUCAGCGGGGAGGCGUUACCCGCAGAAGAAGCACCGGCUAACUCCGUGCCAGCAGCCGCGGUAAUAC